UUGACCUCGGAUCAGGUAGGAAUACCCGCUGAACUUAAGCAUAUCAAUAAGCGGGAGGAG
rnacentral:rRNA from 1 species